UACGAAGGGGGCUAGCGUUGCUCGGAAUCACUGGGCGUAAAGGGUGCGUAGGCGGGUCUUUAAGUCAGGGGUGAAAUCCUGGAGCUCAACUCCAGAACUGCCUUUGAUACUGAGGAUCUUGAGUUCGGGGAGAGGUGAGUGGAACUGCGAGUGUAGAGGUGAAAUUCGUAGAUAUUCGCAAGAACACCAGUGGCGAAGGCGGCUCACUGGCCCGAUACUGACGCUGAGGCACGAAAGCG
rnacentral:rRNA from 1 species